rnacentral:rRNA from 1 species
CCUACGGGUGGCAUCAGUGGGGAAUCUUGCGCAAUGGGCGAAAGCCUGACGCAGCGACGCCGCGUGAGGGAUGAAGGUCUUAGGAUCGUAAACCUCUGUCAGCAGGGACGCCCGGUCCCUGUGCUCCUCAGCAGUGAAUUGACGGUACCUGCAAAGGAAGCACCGGCGAACUCCGUUCCAGCCGCCGCGGUCCUCCGGCGGGUGCCCGCGUUCCUCGGCCUGACUGGGCGUACCGCGCGCGUCGUCGGUAUUGCAAGUCAAGGGUGAAAUCCCCGCGCUCAACGUGGGAACUGCCUUUGAAACUGGCAAACUGGAGUGUGUGAGAGGAUAGUGGAAUUCCAGGUGGAGGAGUGAAAUCCGUAGAUAUCUGGAGGAACAUCAGUGGCGAAGGCGACUAUCUGGCACAUAACUGACGCUGAGGAGCGAAAGCGUGGGUAGCAAACAGGAUUAGAGACCCUGGUAGUC